rnacentral:rRNA from 1 species
AGUGAACGCUGGCGGUAGGCCUAACACAUGCAAGUCGAACGGCAGCACAGUAAUAGCUUGCUCUUACGGGUGGCGAGUGGCGGACGGUUGAGGAAUACAUCGGAAUCUACUUUUUCGUGGGGUAUAACGGAGGGAAACUUACGCUAAUACCGCAUACGACCUACGGGUGAAAGCAUGGGAUCUUCGGACCUUGCGUGAUUGAAUGAGCCGAUGUCGGAUUAGCUAGUUGGCGGGGUAAAGGCCCACCAAGGCGACGAUCCGUAGCUGGUCUGAGAGGAUGAUCAGCCACACUGGAACUGAGACACGGUCCAGACUCCUACGGGAGGCAGCAGUGGGGAAUAUUGGACAAUGGGCGAAAGCCUGAUCCAGCCAUACCGCGUGGGUGAAGAAGGCCUUCGGGUUGUAAAGCCCUUUUGUUGGGAAAGAAAAGCAGCAGGUUAAUACCCCGCUGUUCUGACGGUACCCAAAGAAUAAGCACCGGCUAACUUCGUG